GAUGAACGCUGGCGGCGUGCCUAACACAUGCAAGUGGAGCGACGAACCUGGCUUCGGCCAGGGGCAAAGCCGCGAACGGGUGAGUAACACGUGGAUUAUCUGCCCCAAUGACCGGGACAACCCGAGGAAACUCGGGCUAAUACCGGAUGUGCUCCUAGGAGGAAAGGAAGCUUCGGCCUCCGCAUUGGGAUGAGUCCGCGGCGCAUUAGCUUGUUGGUGGGGUAAUGGCCCACCAAGGCGACGAUGCGUAGCUGGUCUGAGAGGACGAUCAGCCACACUGGAACUGAGACACGGUCCAGACUCCUACGGGAGGCAGCAGUGGGGAAUCUUGCGCAAUGCACGAAAGUGUGACGCAGCAACGCCGCGUGCGGGAAGAAGGUCUUCGGAUCGUAAACCGCUUUCAGUUGGGACGAGGGUCAGCUGGUGAAUAGCCAGUCUGACUGACGGUACCUUCAGAAGAAGCCCCGGCUAACUACGUGCCAGCCGCCGCGGUAA
rnacentral:rRNA from 1 species